AUUGAACGCUGGCGGCGUGCCUAACACAUGCAAGUCGAGCGGUAACAGGUGUAGCAAUACAUGCUGACGAGCGGCGAACGGGUGAGUAAUGCUUUGGAAUCUUCCCAGUAGUGGGGAAUAACCAGUCGAAAGAUUGGCUAAUACCGCAUACGUCUGUAAAGGGAAAGCGGGGGACUCGCCUCUUCUUCGGAAGAGAGGCCUCGCGCUAUUGGAUGAGCCAAAGCGGAUUAGCUAGUUGGUGGGUAAUGGCCUACCAAGGCGACAAUCCGUAGCUGGUCUGAGAGGACGACCAGCCACACCGGAACUGAGACACGGUCC
rnacentral:rRNA from 1 species